rnacentral:tRNA from 1 species
UGGGCCGUUAGCUCGGCUGGUAGAGCAGCGGACUUUUAAUCCGUUGGUCACUGGUUCGAAUCCAGUACGGCCCAU